rnacentral:rRNA from 1 species
AGCAGCCGCGGUAAUUCCAGCUCCAAUAGCGUAUAUUAAAGUUGUUGCAGUUAAAAAGCUCGUAGUUGAAUUUCGGGAUCAAUACGUCGGUCGUGCUUCGGUACGUACUGGCGUCAUUGAUUUCUCCCUUCUGACGAACCAUGAUGUCAUUAACUUGGUGUCAUGGGAAAUCAGGACUGUUACUUUGAAAAAAUUAGAGUGUUUAAAGCAGGCUCACGCUUGAAUACAUUAGCAUGGAAUAAUGAAAUAGGACGUUCGAACCUAUUUUGUUGGUUUUUAGGAUCAACGUAAUGAUUAAUAGGGAUAGUUGGGGGCAUUAGUAUUCAAUUGUCAGAGGUGAAAUUCUUGGAUUUAUUGAAGACUAACUACUGCGAAAGCAUUUGCCAAGGAUGUUUUCAUUAAUCAAGAACGAAAGUUAGGGGAUCGAAGACGAUCAGAUACCGUCGUAGUCUUAACCAUAAACUAUGCCGACUAGGGAUCGGAUGAUGUUAAUUAUUUAAUGACUCAUUCGGCGCCUUACG